rfam:TPA: Bos taurus chromosome 8, whole genome shotgun sequence.
UCCCUGGUGGUCAAAUGGUUAAGACUCUGUGCUUCCACUGCAGAGCGCACAGGUUCUAUCCUUGGUCAGAGAG